UUUCAAUGUGUUGAGUUCAGUUCAGAGCAGUUUCCCUAUUCUGUUAAUAAAAUUUUGGACACUGAUACACAAGCUUGGGAAGAUGAUUUGAUAGAAAGCAUUGCUCUAUUCAUUUACCUCCUACUCUACAAAA
rfam:Myotis davidii contig89778, whole genome shotgun sequence.